GAUGAACGCUAGCGGCAGGCCUAAUACAUGCAAGUCGAACGGUAUAAGUUGUAGCAAUAUGACUUAGAGAGUGACGUAAGGGUGCGUAACACGUAUGCAAUCUACCCUCAACAGGAGUAUAGCUCGGGGAAACUCGGAUUAACACUCCAUAAUAUCAUUGGGAGGCAUCUUCUGGUGAUUAAAACUUUGGUGGUUGAGGAUGAGCAUGCGUCUGAUUAGUUAGUUGGUGAGGUAACGGCUCACCAAGACGAUGAUCAGUAGGGGAACUGAGAGGUUGAUCCCCCACACUGGCACUGAGAUACGGGCCAGACUCCUACGGGAGGCAGCAGUAGGGAAUAUUGGUCAAUGGGUGAGAGCCUGAACCAGCCAUGCCGCGUGCAGGAAGACGGCCUUCUGGGUUGUAAACUGCUUUUAUCUGGGGAUAAAAAGGCCUUGCGAGGCACAUUGAAGGUACCAGAUGAAUAAGCACCGGCUAACUACGU
rnacentral:rRNA from 1 species